rnacentral:rRNA from 1 species
UACGUAGGGGGCUAGCGUUGUCCGGAAUCAUUGGGCGUAAAGCGCACGUAGGCGGAUGUGUCAGUCAGGGGUGAAAUCCCGGAGCUCAACUUCGGAACUGCCUUUGAUACAGCACGUCUUGAGUCCGAUAGAGGUGGGUGGAAUUCCUAGUGUAGAGGUGAAAUUCGUAGAUAUUGGGAAGAACACCAGUGGCGAAGGCGGCUAUCUGGCCCGUUAUUGACGCUGAGGCGCAAAAGCGUGGGGAGCAAACAGG